GCGUUUGUGGUUUAGUGGUAAAAUCCAUCGUUGCCAUCAUUCCACAUCUUCUAACCAAGAUAGAGUAAGAUAACAACUUCGAUGGGCCCCGGGUUCGAUUCCCGGCGAACGCA
rfam:Botryotinia fuckeliana BcDW1 unplaced genomic scaffold Scaffold_405, whole genome shotgun sequence.